rnacentral:ncRNA from 1 species
GGCUGACGCCAAGCUCCCAGAUGCACAAUCGGGUUACGAGAAGGCCUAUACCAACGUGCUGGCCGGACACAGCGGCACCAAUCUCGUUUACGAGGCC